GAAUCUUCGGUUCGAAGAAGGAGGACUGCAGCAAUAUGUUUUAUCAAGGAUACAAAAACACUACAGUACAGCGGAAAGACGCCAGGACGAAACGACACGGUCACAGGAUUGAAAUACGCGUCCUGUUUGACCCUCGGCCCACAUCGUCGUGUGAGGAAACAAGAGUGGUGACGGUGGAGCCACAAGCGGGAACAAAUAUUGAACAGAAAUGGACAAAGAAAAGGGAAUUUUGAUUGUUGCCACGGAUUACGUCAUCUGCCAGAGAGAAGAGAGAAGUUACCGGAGCACUG